GUUUCAAUACAAUCCCUCUUAUUUUUGUCAGGAAAUCUGUGGGCAUCAUAUUAAUGCUAGAUCCCGAGUCUAUCAUGGCUUCCACAUCAAAAUCAUUCAAGGCACAUGAUAAUGUUAUACAUCCCGAAUCUUUUACCUUAAGCGGAUGAUCCCUCUUCAGAGGCUGAACAUCAGAAUCCUCCUCUUCAUCGGUGAGUUCACAUUCUUCUUCAAGAUUGAAAUUGAUUCUUUCAACAUAGGGAGGAAUUUGCAGAUUUACUACAGGUACCACAAUCACUUGGUUGAAGAUCUCUCUAAAUCUCCCAUCAUGAUUGUUUCCAACUCGCAUUUCUUCUUUACCUCCACUAACGUUUAACUCACUAACCUCU
rnacentral:lncRNA from 1 species